GUUGCGAACGGGUGAGUAACGCGUAGGUAACCUGCCUGGUAGCGGGGGAUAACUAUUGGAAACGAUAGCUAAUACCGCAUAAUAUUAAUUAUUGCAUGAUAAUUGAUUGAAAGAUGCAACUGCAUCACUACCAGAUGGGCCUGCGUUGUAUUAGCUAGUAGGUGAGGUAACGGCUCACCUAGGCGACGAUACAUAGCCGACCUGAGAGGGUGAUCGGCCACACUGGGACUGAGACACGGCCCAGACUCCUACGGGAGGCAGCAGUAGGGAAUCUUCGGCAAUGGACGAAAGUCUGACCGAGCAACGCCGCGUGAGUGAAGAAGGUUUUCGGAUCGUAAAGCUCUGUUGUAAGAGAAGAACGGGUGUGAGAGUGGAAAGUUCACACUGUGACGGUAUCUUACCAGAAAGGGACGGCUAACUACGUGCCAGCAGCCGCGGUAAUACGUAGGUCCCGAGCGUUGUCCGGAUUUAUUGGGCGUAAAGCGAGCGCAGGCGGUUAGAUAAGUCUGAAGUUAAAGGCUGUGGCUUAACCAUAGUACGCUUUGGAAACUGUUUAACUUGAGUGCAGAAGGGGAGAGUGGAAUUCCAUGUGUAGCGGUGAAAUGCGUAGAUAUAUGGAGGAACACCGGUGGCGAAAG
rnacentral:rRNA from 1 species